ACAGUGACAGGGUUCAGACCAGGCUGAGGAAUAGAGCGCAGCUCCAACGCCAGGAACCAGCUCUCCAGUGCAGGAUGUCUGAAAAUCAAGGGAUUUGGUACCUUGUCAUUUGAAGACACUUCUGUCAUCAGAGGCUCCUCAUCCAUGAAGAGAUCCCAUCAGCCUGAUGCUCCUCCUGCUUCUGCUGCUGCUCCAGCUUUAUUUCAUUGUCCCGGCACAACAAGAUGCUCAGCAGGUCCACACAGAGAUCAACAAGCUGAGGACCCAAAGUUUUACCAAGCUAUGAAAACAAAGACAUGUUGGAAGUGAAGAAAAGAGGAGGAUGGGAGCAGACAGGUAAUUAUACAGCAGGAAUAGGAGUUAACUAAGAACUACUUAGAUUACAACCUCUUCUGGGAGAAGGAACCACCUCCCUUAAUAGAAACCUGAUUCUAAGAGAAGUCUCAGGUUGCCAAAUAAAUAGUGAUAGAAUUUCAUUUACACAUCUAUAUAUAUUCAUUUAUACAUUAUAUAUAUGACAUUUGGAGGUACACAGGCCAGUGAAUUUUACUCUCUGCAAAGGCUUCCUGGGGAGACCCAGGAGCUGGAUUAAAAUCUCGAGGUUAUUUGCACUCACACUGAUCAGCAAGGUAACCCAUGCAAAGUAAAUCCAAAGCAAAUCCUCAAUAAUAAGAACUGGCAUUUGUUUACAAAUUACGUGCAGUUUUGUACGGUGCUGUGCAGCCUCAGAGACAAGCACAGAAAAAAGAGCUACAGAACUGGAACCUAAGUUUGAACAGCUAAGUCAUUUGUACCUUCUACAUGAAAAUAAAUCAAACAUAACCACAAUAUUAUUACAAUAUUGCUCUUA